AACUCGAUGGACAUGAGUUUGAGCAAGCUCCAGGAUAUGGUGAAGGACUGGGAAGCCUGGCAUGCUGCAGUCCAUGGGGUUGCAAAGAGUUGGAAAGGAAUGAGGGACUGAACAACAACAAAUUUUCAGUAACAUUGUAUCAAGACCCAAGUGACAAUAUCUGAUUGUUUCCAGUUUGGAACCGGGAAACCUGGCGGGCUAUAAUCCAUGCGAUCACAAAGAGUCGUUCGUGACUGAGCACUGAACACACAUGCUGGUUUGGAAUUAUUAUUAAUGAAGCUGCAAUAAAAAUAUUUUUACAGGU